rnacentral:rRNA from 1 species
AUUGAACGCUGGCGGCAGGCCUAACACAUGCAAGUCGAGCGAGCGGCGGACGGGUGAGGAAUGUCUGGGAAACUGCCUGAUGGAGGUGGAUAACUACUGGCAACGGUAGCUAAUACCACAUACCAUCAGAUGUGCCCCGAGUGGAUUAGUUAGUGGGUGGGGGAACGGCUCACCUAGGCGACGAUCCCUGGCUGGUCUGAGAGGAUGACCAGCCACACUGGAACGGAGACACGGCCCAGACUCCUACGGGAGGCAGCAGUGGGGAAUUUUGCACAAUGGGGGCAAGCCUGAUCCAGCCAUGCCGCGUGUGUGAUGAAGGCCUUCGGGUUGUAAAGCACUUUUAGCAGGGAGGCGUUACCCGCAGAAUAAGCACCGGCUAACUCCGUGCCAGCAGCCGCGGUAAUAC